UACGGAGGAUCCAAGCGUUAUCCGGAUUUAUUGGGUUUAAAGGGUGCGUAGGCGACCUGUUAAGUCAGGGGUGAAAGACGGUGGCUCAACCAUCGCAGUGCCCUUGAUACUGAUGGGCUUGAAUUAACUAGAGGUAGGCGGAAUGUGACAAGUAGCGGUGAAAUGCAUAGAUAUGUCACAGAACACCGAUUGCGAAGGCAGCUUACUAUGGUUUGAUUGACGCUGAGGCACGAAAGCGUGGGGAUCGAACAGG
rnacentral:rRNA from 1 species